ACACGACUACAUUAGAUACCCCUGUAGUCCAGGGUGUAAACGCUGCGGGCUUGGUGUUGGGGGUCCUUUGAGGGCGCCCAGUGCCGGAGAGAAGUUGUUAAGCCUGCUGCUUGGGAAGUACGUCCGCAAGGAUGAAACUUAAAGGAAUUGGCGGGGAGCACCGCAACGGGAGGAGCGUGCGGUUCAAUUGGAUUCAACGCCGGACAACUCACCAGGAGCGACGGUUACAUGAAGGCCAGGCUGAUGACCUUGCCUGAUUUUCCG
rnacentral:rRNA from 1 species